UACGUAGGGGGCAAGCGUUGUCCGGAAUCAUUGGGCGUAAAGCGCGCGUAGGCGGCCCGGUAAGUCCGCUCUGAAAGUCCAGGGCUUAACCCUGGAAAGCGGGUGGAUACUGCCGGGCUUGAAUCCGGAAGAGGCGAGUGGAAUUCCUGGUGUAGCGGUGGAAUGCGCAGAUAUCAGGAGGAACACCAAUAGCGAAGGCAGCUCGCUGGGACGGUAUUGACGCUAAGGCGUGAAAGCGUGGGGAGCAAACAGG
rnacentral:rRNA from 1 species